CCUAGGGGAGGCAGCAGUGAGGAAUAUUGGUCAAUGGGCGAGAGCCUGAACCAGCCAAGUCGCGUGAGGGAAGACGGUCCUAUGGAUUGUAAACCUCUUUUGCCGGGGAGCAAAAAGCGGUACGUGUACCGCAUCGAGAGUACCCGGAGAAAAAGCAUCGGCUAACUCCGUGCCAGCAGCCGCGGUAAUACGGAGGGGGCAAGCGUUAUCCGGAAUUACUGGGUGUAAAGGGAGCGUAGACGGUUAAGUAAGUCUGGAGUGAAAGGCCGGGGCCCAACCCCGGGACUGCUCUGGAAACUAUUGAACUUGAGUGCAGGAGAGGUAAGCGGAAUUCCUAGUGUAGCGGUGAAAUGCGUAGAUAUUAGGAGGAACACCAGUGGCGAAGGCGGCUUACUGGACUGUAACUGACGUUGAGGCUCGAAAGCGUGGGGAGCAAACAGGAUUAGAUACCCGAGUAGUC
rnacentral:rRNA from 1 species